GACGAACGCUGGCGGCGUGCUUAACACAUGCAAGUCGAACGGAAAGGCCCCGUUGGGGGUACUCGAGUGGCGAACGGGGGGGUAACACGGGAGUAAACUGCCCGUGACUGCGGGAUAACUACAGGAAAGUGGGGCGAAUACCGGAAAGGAAUCCUUGCUGCAUGGGGGGGGGUGGAAAGAUUCGGCGGGUUUGGGUGGAUGGGCGGCCUAUCCGCUUGUUGGUGGGGUAGUGGCUUACCCAUGCGUUGGCGGGUAGCCGGCCUGAGGGGGCGACCGGCCACCUUGGCACUGAGGGUCGGCCCCGGCUCCUACUGGCGGCCGUCGUGGGGAAUCUUGCCCCAUGGGCGGCAGCCUGAUGCGGCAACGCCGCGUGCGGGAUGGCGGCCUUCGGGUUGUAAACCGCUUUCAGCAGGGGCGAAGCUUGUGGUGACGGUACCUGCAGAAGAAGCACCGGCUAACUACGUG
rnacentral:rRNA from 1 species